rnacentral:lncRNA from 1 species
AUGAGAGGUGAUGGUGACCCGCCACUACUGUACGCAGGCAGGGCCGGAAAGGUUAAGCAGUCACUCCGCUACUUCGAAACAGCCCCGACACCGUUUCUAGGGAAGCGACCGGCCGGCGCUCCUACGCUGACGGUCCGCCCGGAACCCAGACCCCGCGCACAAGUUUCCGGGGCCCGGAGAGCCCGGGAACCCAGGACCCCGCAGGCAGCCCGGGGCAGGCAGGAAAGGGCGGGGGCCCAGGGCUCCGCUGGACCCGACGGAGGCCGGGAAGUCACGUGACAGAUACUUACUGAGAAGCCAGUGGAGUCCUCACAACAGAUCAGUUUAGCAUCAGAGCCCCCGCAAUGAGCCCCGUUUUCUGGUUGAGGAAACUGCGCUUGAGAGAGGCCCAAGGUCACCCAUCUGACAUAUAUAUUUUGAAUCCAGGUCAUGAGGUAAGGUGCAUCUCAUUUCAAACUCCAUUCUUUUAAUUGUUACGGUUGAUUGUUUCCCAAAAUGUGGGUCUGCUUUAUGCCAGGAGGAUUAAAAAAUAACGUGGAAGCUUAAUGCUUUUGACGCAUAGUAAAUGACUUAUUAUGUUCCCUAGUGGGACCCUUGUUUAUGUGAUUCGUUGAGGGAAUGUCCUCGGGAAAAGGACACACGAGAGAAAGCUACCC